UCGAACGAUGAAGCCCUUCGGGGUGGAUUAGUGGCGAACGGGUGAGUAACACGUGGGCAAUCUGCCCUUCACUCUGGGACAAGCCCUGGAAACGGGGUCUAAUACCGGAUAACACCGGCUUCCGCAUGGAAGCUGGUUAAAAGCUCCGGCGGUGAAGGAUGAGCCCGCGGCCUAUCAGCUUGUUGGUGGGGUAAUGGCCUACCAAGGCGACGACGGGUAGCCGGCCUGAGAGGGCGACCGGCCACACUGGGACUGAGACACGGCCCAGACUCCUACGGGAGGCAGCAGUGGGGAAUAUUGCACAAUGGGCGAAAGCCUGAUGCAGCGACGCCGCGUGAGGGAUGACGGCCUUCGGGUUGUAAACCUCUUUCAGCAGGGAAGAAGCGAAAGUGACGGUACCUGCAGAAGAAGCGCCGGCUAACUACGUGCCAGCAGCCGCGGUAAUACGUAGGGCGCAAGCGUUGUCCGGAAUUAUUGGGCGUAAAGAGCUCGUAGGCGGCUUGUCACGUCGGGUGUGAAAGCCCGGGGCUUAACCCCGGGUCUGCAUCCGAUACGGGCAGGCUAGAGUGUGGUAGGGGAGAUCGGAAUUCCUGGUGUAGCGGUGAAAUGCGCAGAUAUCAGGAGGAACACCGGUGGCGAAGGCGGAUCUCUGGGCCAUUACUGACGCUGAGGAGCGAAAGCGUGGGGAGCGAACAGGAU
rnacentral:rRNA from 1 species